rnacentral:lncRNA from 1 species
AGUUGGCAGGGACCGGGCUCACUUUGGUCCCGGUUCCUCCUCUGAAUUCAAUAUGCUCCCCAAAAAUCAACACCAUAUAUAUCAUUAAUACAAAAUCAGGACAAAUACUUAUAGGUUACUGCGGCAAUUUAGAGAAAUUACUGCGGCAUUCAUUAAAAGGUUACUUCUUGAACAACAAACUUGCACAAACGGUGCUUUAGAACUUAUCUCAGUACAUAAUUUUCCAACUUAAUAAGAGAGAGCUUAAUAAUGUUGAACUAUAACAUUAUACUCAACCGUAGC